AUUGAACGCUGGCGGCAGGCCUAACACAUGCAAGUCGAGCGGAGCGGCGGACGGGUGCGGAAUGCCUAGGUAUCUGCCUGGUAGUGGGGGAGAACGUUAGGAAACGGGCGCGAAUACUGCUUACUAGCAGAAGAGCAUAGGUCGGGUUGGCUAGUGGGUGGGGUAAGGGCAUACCAAGGCGACGAUCCGUAACUGGUCUGAGAGGAUGAUCAGUCACACUGGUACUGAGACACGGUCCAGACUCCUACGGGAGGCAGCAGUGGGGAAUAUUGGACAAUGGGCGAAAGCCUGAUCCAGCCAUGCCGCGUGUAUGAAGAAGGUCUUCGGAUUGUAAAGCACUUUAAGUUGGGAGGCGUUACCAGCAGAAUAAGCACCGGCUAACUUCGUGCCAGCAGCCGCGGUAAUUC
rnacentral:rRNA from 1 species